rnacentral:rRNA from 1 species
GAUGAACGCUGGCGGCGUGCCUAAUACAUGCAAGUCGAGCGAACAGACGAGGAGCUUGCUCCUCUGACGUUAGCGGCGGACGGGUGAGUAACACGUGGAUAACCUACCUAUAAGACUGGGAUAACUUCGGGAAACCGGAGCUAAUACCGGAUAAUAUAUUGAACCGCAUGGUUCAAUAGUGAAAGACGGUUUUGCUGUCACUUAUAGAUGGAUCCGCGCCGCAUUAGCUAGUUGGUAAGGUAACGGCUUACCAAGGCAACGAUGCGUAGCCGACCUGAGAGGGUGAUCGGCCACACUGGAACUGAGACACGGUCCAGACUCCGACGGGAGGCAGCAGUAGGGAAUCUUCCGCAAUGGGCGAAAGCUUGACGGAGCAACGCCGCGUGAGUGAUGAAGGUCUUAGGAUCGUAAAACUCUGUUAUUAGGGAAGAACAAAUGUGUAAGUAACUAUGCACGUCUUGACGGUACCUAAUCAGAAAGCCACGGCUAACUACGUG